rnacentral:lncRNA from 1 species
UAGCUGCCGGUGGCAGUCAGUUAUUUGACACUUCGGUUUCGAGUGCGGAGCUGAGAGCAGCCUGGGCGGGCCUUCGCCAUGCCCGGUGUGUCUUACAGGCUAGGUCCAUCAUCCUGAAGGGUGACUCAGUCACCGUCAUCAGUUGGAUCCAGGAGGGUCCAAGGGGUGGCAGUAGUGACCAUCCCUUGCUCCGUGACAUUUGGGCUAUGGCGAGGGAUGGAUGGAUCUUUCAAGCCAAGCAUAUUUACCG